UCCUACGGGAGGCAGCAGUGGGGAAUUUUGGACAAUGGGCGCAAGCCUGAUCCAGCCAUGCCGCGUGCAGGAUGAAGGCCUUCGGGUUGUAAACUGCUUUUGUACGGAACGAAAAGACUCUGGUUAAUACCUGGGGUCCAUGACGGUACCGUAAGAAUAAGCACCGGCUAACUACGUGCCAGCAGCCGCGGUAAUACGUAGGGUGCGAGCGUUAAUCGGAAUUACUGGGCGUAAAGCGUGCGCAGGCGGUUAUAUAAGACAGAUGUGAAAUCCCCGGGCUCAACCUGGGAACUGCAUUUGUGACUGUAUAGCUAGAGUACGGCAGAGGGGGAUGGAAUUCCGCGUGUAGCAGUGAAAUGCGUAGAUAUGCGGAGGAACACCGAUGGCGAAGGCAAUCCCCUGGGCCUGUACUGACGCUCAUGCACGAAAGCGUGGGGAGCAAACAGGAUUAGAUACCCUGGUAGUCCACGCCCUAAACGAUGUCAACUGGUUGUAGGGUAUUCACUGACUCAGU
rnacentral:rRNA from 1 species